UAGGGAAUCUUCCGCAAUGGGGGAAAGCCUGACGGAGCAACGCCGCGUGAGUGAUGAAGGUCUUUGGAUCGUAAAACUCUGUUAUUAGGGAAGAACAUAUGUGUAAGUAACUGUGCACAUCUUGACGGUACCUAAUCAGAAAGCCCCGGCUAAAUANGUGCCAGCAGCCGCGGUAAUACGUAGGUGGCAAGCGUUAUCCGGAAUUAUUGGGCGUAAAGCGCGCGUAGGCGGUUUUUUAAGUCUCAUGUGAAAGCCCCCGGCUCACCCGUGGAGGGUCAUUGGAAACUGGAAAACUUGAGUGCAGAAGAGGAAAGUGGAAUUCCAUGUGUAGCGCUGAAAUGCGCAGAGAUAUGGAGGAACACCAGUGGCGAAGGCGACUUUCUGGUCUGUAACUGACGCUGAUGUGCGAAAGCGUGGGAUCAAACAGGAUUUGAUACCCUGGUAGUCCCCGCCGUAAACGAUGAGUCCUAAGUGUUAGGGGGUCUCCGCCCCUUAGUGCUGCAGCUAACGCAAAAAGCANUCCACCUGGAUACGCGGCAACUG
rnacentral:rRNA from 1 species